CGCAGUCAAGGCCAAGUGGUCAAGGUGAGUAUUGAGUAGUGUACAGGAGCAGUUGUUAUUGCUCAAGUCUCAGGUUCUGGUGCAGCUCUAAGCAUUCAUUCCUGUUUGUGCACUUUAGGCAAUCGACUCAGCGUACAUCCAGCCCCCGUCACCUGCCGGCUGAUGCACCGGGUUUCCUGCAAAUGCAAGUCCUGUGGAAGUAUUACAAGAGUCUGUGAUGAUGAAGCCUUCAACUUUUCUAUUUCAUGGUCCCAUCCUGGCAGCCCUCAGGAACGGCGGAGGAGUUGCGGUGAGUGGAGGAGGCGGGGAGGAGGAGGGAGGCUCCACUCAGGUCCCGGCAAUGAUAAAUCACCUUGUCUCCACUUUAACCCAGCUGCACCCUGCAACAAUGGCGAUGGCCUCCAAGCAAGCCUGAAGCGUGUGGCCCGAGGACCUGGGCGUUCUUAGGAGAGGGGUGAGUAGCAAUGCUGUCAUAUUUUGGCCGCCGUGCUGCUGAGAUUAUGCACUGACCUUUGGUUUCCUUUCUCCUGGCAGACUAAGAGACAACAGCCCGGUGUCAGCAGGGACUUCCCAGACGGCGCGUCCGCUUUCCUUCCCCCCUCGCUCAGAUCGGCACGCCCACCUGUCCGAGAGAUAAGUAGAGGGCUACGACCCAGAGAGGGGAUGAAAGGGGGGUCUGGGUCACAAUUCACUUUGAUGGGAUUUUAAUUCAGCUUUGGUGAUGGGGAUUUCCAAGCAGUGGCCCCUUAGGCCCUGUAAAGGGAAAAUGUCACUUUUGAUCAGAGUGCCAAGGUGCACAGGGCAGAGCAGGUCCGGUGUGUAUCGUGUCACUUGUCUAUUGUGCAUUCUCUGUGUUUGGAUAUGUCAUGUCUAUUACCUCAGGCCUUUGAGGGGCCUAUCAGAAACCAUUCUUGGCAUCUGUGAUCUGUGUUCUUUAUUCUGGCACCAAUGCAAUAGAACUUUUGACUUAGGAGCUCAGACUGCCUUCAGACUCGCAUGUCUUCUUUAGAGGCAUCCAGUCAGAUGUCUUCUCAGGUCUUGUCCCGAGCUGUACGGGAAGCCGCUCCCUGCAAGGGAUCCAUUACGGCAGGUUAGGACUUGUCAGAAUGAGAGCUCUAGGCAGAGGAUUCUGACCGUAGGAUUCCCAGGCAUCCAUCUUGGCAGUUCUUGAGAUAAAUCAUUCAGUUAGCAUCUUCUUCCUCCAGGCUUCUCUGAGCCUCAUCAGCUCUCCAUCGGUCUCACCUCGGUCAUCUCAAUCUGCAUUCUCUCAGUCCUUGCAGUCAUUUCCAUUGCCAAGAGAUUUCUGUGUGUGUUGUGUCCCCCUUGUUCGUCACGGGUGUCUGCACGCAUUUGUGCCGGAGCUGCUCUGCCCUGCCGCAUAGCCUGGUGCAAUAGGGGCAGUCCCGGGGCCUUGUAGUUUGUAAUGUGGGGUGUGGUUGGACUCUAGAUGGGCACACGAUGUCUGGAGCUCUGCAGGUAAAGUUAUCUUUCAACAGUUUGACUAUUGUCCUAACUUUCCUUUCAGAUUCAUAUGGAUCAAAUCUGUCCCAGAGGGCCCUAUCCUGGGUGCAGGCAUCCUCCUGAGCAGCAAGUCAAGGCAGAGAGCAGCAGUCAAGGCCAAGUGGGCAAGGCAAUCGACUCGGCGUACAUCCAGCCCCCGUCACCAACCGGCCGAUGCACCUGGUUUCCUGCAAAUGUGAGCCCCGUGGAAGUAUUACAGGAGUCUGUGAUGAUGAAGCCUUCAACUUUGCUAUUUCAUGGUCCCAUCCUGGCAGCCCUCAGGAACGGCCAAGGAGUUGCGGUGUGAUGACGGUGUCAGCUGCCGAGCAGGCCUGAAGCGUGCGGCCCGAGGAGCUGUGCCUUCACAGGAGAACGACUCAGAGACAACAGCCUGGUGUCAGCAGGGACUUCCCAGACAGCGGGUCCGCUUUCUUUCCACCCAGCACGGAUCGGCACGCCCACCUGUCCGAGAGAUAAGUAGAGGGCUACGACCCACAGAGGGGAUGAAAGCGGGGUCUGGGUCACAACUCACAGGGAGGGGAUUUCGAUUUGUCUUUGGAGACGAGGAUGUCCAAGCAGUGCCCCCUUAGGCCCUGUAAAGGGAAAGUAUCGCUUUUGAUCAGAGUGCCAAGGUGCACAGGGCAGAGCAGGUCCGGUGUGUAUCGUGUCACUUGUCUAUCGUGCAUUCUGUGUUUUUUGUAUAUGUCAUGUCUAUUACCUCAGGCCUUUGAGGGGCCUAUCAGAAACCAUUCUUGGCAUCUGUGAUCCGCGUUCUUUAUUCUGGCACCAAUGCCAUAGAACUUUUGACUUAGGAGCUCAGACUGCCAUCAGACUCGCAUCUCUUCUUUAGAAGCAUCCAGUCAGAUGUCUUCUCAGGUCUUGUCCCGAGCUGUACGGGAAGCCGCUCCCUGCAAGGGAUCCAUUACGGCAGGUUAGGACUUGUCAGAAUGAGAUCUCUAGGCAGAGGAUUCUGACCGUAGGAUUCCCAGGCAUCCAUCUUGGCAGUUCUUGAGAUAAAUCAUUCAGUUAGCAUCUUCUUCCUCCAGGCUUCUCUGAGCCUCAUCAGCUCUCCAUCGGUCUCACCUCGGUCAUCUCAUUCUUCAUUCUCUCAGUCCUUGCAGUCAUUUUCCUUGCCAAGAGAUUUCUGUCCGUGUUGUGUCCCCCUUGUUUGUCACGUCCCGUCCUGUGUCACGGGUGUCUGCACGCAUUUGUGCCGGAGCCGCUCUGCCCUGCCGCAUAGCCUGGUGCAAUAGGGGAAGUCCCGGGGCCUUGUAGUUGGUAAUGUGGGGUGUGGUUGGACUCUAGAUGGCAUUUGUAGAUGGACACAAGAUGUUUGCAGCUGGGAAGUUAUCCUGGAGACCUUUGACGUUUGUUCUUACUUGUUUUUCAGAUUCAUCUGGAUAAUAUCUGUGCACGAGGGCCCCAUCCUGGGUCUGGGAGUCCCGCGGAGCAGGUCCGUCACUGUUUGUCUCUGCAGCAGAAGUGUAAAUGGUGACUCUGUUACAGCGCUGUUCUUUGUCUUUUUCGGAAGUCAAGGCAGAGAGCCACAGUCAAGGCCAAGUAGGCAAGGUGGUCCACUUGCCAUCUCUCCUGGCCGAGCAUGCCCGAUGUCAGGUG